UGUCAGCUCCCUUUUCUCUCCUCCGUUCCGGUCAGCUUCCCUGUCAGCUCCACUGUAAACCUCGCAGCCCCAAGACUGACAGUGGAGGAGAAGGGAGCUGACCGGACCGGAGGAGAGAGAAGGGAGCUGACA